UUCCAGCAGUAGACCCUAUCCUCUCAAUGGAUUACUUUUCCAGCAAAGCCUCCUUAAGGCAAGACAUCCAACAGGGUUGGAUGCCCCAACCCUGGCAGUGUUCAAAGCCAGGCUGGAUAAGGCCUUGAGCAACCUGGUCUAGUGGGAGGUGUCCCUGCACAUAGCAGGGGUUUGGAACUACGUAGUGUUUAAGGUCCAUACCAAUCCCUUAACAUUCCAUGAUUCUACGUUUCUGUGACAUAAAAGGCUUGGAUGUAAAAUUCCCACAAGCAAUCUAUAUCUCACAAAGCUGCACCUUUCCUCAGCUUUCCUGACAAUUUCCCAAUAUGUUCUCCAACUAUGUGCCAAGACUGACCUUUUCCCCCCUAAGAGGUAUCAGUUAAGCCCACAGGAAAGGCACAUGUGUCUCAUUGCUGAGAGCUGGCCAGGAGCUCUGCAAAUGUUGGCUGCUCUAUCAGGAUAAUUGGAGAAGGCCAAAAGUACAAGUGUGGGAAUACUACAAGAAAUGCUUACAGAUGGACUGAUUCUCUCUAGAUGGGAUUGAAACAGCUGAACAUGUGCAGUCUGUACUUCUGCAGAUCAGAGGUCUUUACCUCCAGUCAGGAUUGAUCUUACAUGAAGAACAACAGAGGAACACUUGGAGUGUUUCCUGAAUUUACUUGCAACAAGAUGAUCUGAAAAUAGUGCUUCUUGUCUGUGUCAUGCUCCUGAAAAUAUGCUUCAUGUCAGACAAACACAGAAAGGCUUGCUCUUGUUUAAGAAGUAGGAAUAGGAAAAAAACCACAAAGAAAUAAUCUUAAAAAGCACAGGCCAAUAGCAGGUACAAAGGUAAAGAAAACUACUGAUAUUCUGGUGAAGAUCUGAAGGUAGAGAGAGGCAUUUUCCCAGUCUCCCUGCAGGCCUGAUGUGACCACAUGCAUGGAACAGGCUGUGCAGGGGUGUGCCAGCCCGGAGUGCCUUGGCACAGAAAGAGCAGACCUACAUCUCUGUCCUCUCCAUAGCCCUGCUGUGUGGGCUGUGAGAUCACACAGCUUGGGGCUUUUUUUUCUUCUGAAUUACCAGAGGAAGCUUGUGCAUCAGACACCCAUCAGAAAAUGAAAAAACAGACUCAAAAAUAAGAAUGGAAGCAAGAUACCAAUCUUCACCUAUGAGUUUUCCACAGGCUAAUAAACGAAACAUCCUCACAUUGAAAAAAUCAGAGUGUCAGAUAUAUCAGUCAUCAAGAAAAUUUUCAAGGGACAGAAAAUGCAAACCGAACAGAUUACAAUAAGAAGCAAGCAAGAUAUACAAGUUUAAUAACUUAGAGAUAUUUUUUCAUCACUAGCCUCUGACAUUUUGGCUUGCCACUCUGAAAGUACACUGAAUAAACAUUCAAGACAUCUAAUUUUCCUGCAGUAUUAUUUAAAAUGAAAUAAUGAAUAGGAAGAUUAUUGGACUAAAGCAAUAAGCACAUUUAUAGACCAUUCACAAAUGCUGGAGGCUUGAGAACCACAAGGGCUUUUUCUUAAUUAUGUACAUGCUGUUUAGGGAAUCACUGAAAAUCUCUUCCAUCAGAACUAGCUUGAUGGAAAACUAGGUUUUGAACAGAAGUCUUCUGCCAUUAAUCAGUCAGCUUUCUGCAGUCUGUCACUACUAAACCAAGCA